UACGUAGGGUGCGAGCGUUAAUCGGAAUUACUGGGCGUAAAGCGCGCGUAGGCGGCUUUGUAAGUUAGAGGUGAAAGCCCGGAGCUCAACUCCGGAACUGCCUUUAAGACUGCAUCGCUUGAAUCCAGGAGAGGUGAGUGGAAUUCCGAGUGUAGAGGUGAAAUUCGUAGAUAUUCGGAAGAACACCGGUGGCGAAGGCGGCCCGCUGGGCAGGAUGCUGACGCUGAGGCGCGACAGCGUGGGGAGCAAACAGG
rnacentral:rRNA from 1 species